UACGUAGGGUGCAAGCGUUGUCCGGAAUUAUUGGGCGUAAAGAGCUCGUAGGCGGUUUGUCGCGUCGGCUGUGAAAGCCCGGAGCUCAACUCCGGGUCUGCAGUCGAUACGGGCAGACUUGAGUGUUGCAGGGGAGACUGGAAUUCCUGGUGUAGCGGUGAAAUGCGCAGAUAUCAAGGAGGAACACCGGUGGCGAAGGGCGGG
rnacentral:rRNA from 1 species